AUGAUGUUGAAGACAGCCUGGCCUAGUACUUUUGACAAGGAUGAAAGAGGCCCUUAGGCCUAACAACAUGCAUACAGUUAAGAUAUUAACACCUACUUUGUGGCCUUUAACUAAAGUGCCUU